ACACGACUACAUUAGAUACCCCUGUAGUCCCAGCCCUAAACGAUGCGCGUUAGGUGUAUCGGUGACCACGAGUCACCGAGGUGCCGAAGGGAAACCGUGAAACGUGCCGCCUGGGAAGUACGGUCGCAAGGCUGAAACUUAAAGGAAUUGGCGGGGGAGCACAACAACGGGUGGAGCUUGCGGUUUAAUUGGAUUCAACGCCGGAAAUCUUACCGGGACCGACAGCAACAUGAAGGCCAAGCUGAAGACUUUGCCGGAUUAGCUG
rnacentral:rRNA from 1 species